AACGAACGCUGGCGGCGUGGAUAAGACAUGCAAGUCGAACGGGAACUUCAGCUGUAGCAAUACAGUUGAAGUUUUAGUGGCGAACGGGUGCGUAACACGUGGGCAAUCUGCCGAGAAGUGGGGGAGUAGCGUCGCCGAAAGGCGAAUUAAUACCGCAUAUGAUCAGCUAAGACAUCCUAGCGACAUCAAAGCCGGGGCAACCUGGCGCUUUUUGAGGAGCCCGCGGCCUAUCAGCUAGUUGGUGAGGUAACGGCUCACCAAGGCUAUGACGGGUAGCUGGUCUGAGAGGGACGACCAGUCACACUGGAACUGAGGACACGGUCCAGACACCGUACGGGUGG
rnacentral:rRNA from 1 species